rnacentral:rRNA from 1 species
AUUGAACGCUGGCGGCAGGCCUAACACAUGCAAGUCGAACGGUAACAGGAAACAGCUUGCUGUUUCGCUGACGAGUGGCGGACGGGUGAGUAAUGUCUGGGAAACUGCCUGAUGGAGGGGGAUAACUACUGGAAACGGUAGCUAAUACCGCAUAACGUCGCAAGACCAAAGAGGGGGACCUUCGGGCCUCUUGCCAUCGGAUGUGCCCAGAUGGGAUUCGCUAGUAGGUGGGGUAACGGCUCACCUAGGCGACGAUCCCUAGCUGGUCUGAGAGGAUGACCAGCCACACUGGAACUGAGACACGGUCCAGACUCCUACGGGAGGCAGCAGUGGGGAAUAUUGCACAAUGGGCGCAAGCCUGAUGCAGCCAUGCCGCGUGUAUGAAGAAGGCCUUCGGGUUGUAAAGUACUUUCAGCGGGGAUGAAGGGAGUAAAGUUAAUACCUUUGCUCAUUGACGUUACCCGCAGAAGAAGCACCGGCUAACUCCGUG